rnacentral:rRNA from 1 species
AGCAGCCGCGGUAAUUCCAGCUCCAAUAGCGAUAUUAAAGUUGUAGCAGUUAAAAAGCUCGUAGUUGAAUUUCGGGGUCAGUAGGUCGGUCGUGCCACUAGUAUGAACUGGUUUUACUGAUUCCUCCCUCUUGAAGAACCGUAAUGCCAUUAAUUUGGUGUUGCAGGGAAUCAGGACUGUUACUUUGAAAAAAUUAGAGUGUUUAAAGCAGGCUUUAGCUUGAAUACAUUAGCAUGGAAUAAUGAAAUAGGACGUUUGAUCCUAUUUUGUUGGUUUCUAGGAUUGACGUAAUGAUUAAUAGGGAUAGUUGGGGGCAUUAGUAUUCAAUUGUCAGAGGUGAAAUUCUUGGAUUUAUUGAAGACUAACUACUGCGAAAGCAUUUGCCAAGGAUGUUUUCAUUAAUCAAGAACGAAAGUUAGGGGAUCGAAGACGAUCAGAUACCGUCGUAGUCUUAACCAUAAACUAUGCCGACUAGGGAUCGGGUGAUGUUAAUUUUUUAAUGACUCA